rnacentral:lncRNA from 1 species
CUGACAAUAUAUUCUUGAGCUACGACUUGACAAGAAGAGGUGUUUCCAGAGUGCUUGGGUUGGAGUGCUUUUUAAAAUUGCAUGCAGUGUAAGUUAAAUAAGAUCGUUGCAAGUCAGGAAAUAAAAGAUAAGGCACAAGGAGCAAACAGAAACUUGACAGUUCUUUGGAGGAAGUAGAGAAGCCACAGUAGAGAAGGGCACAAAACAAAAACAAUUUUGCAGCUGCCUUUGGAUGCUCUGAAAGAAAAGGUACGGGCGAGAAUCACAUAGGAAGAGAGUUGCAUGGAAUAAGGCAAAAAAAAAAAUAACGCAGUGUGGAUGAUUUGCCAAUAAAGUUUAGGAGGAAAAAUUUUUGAGAGAUGAU